rnacentral:rRNA from 1 species
UCUACCCUACGGGACGCAGCAGUAGGGAAUAUUGCUCAAUGGGGGAAACCCUGAAGCAGCAACGCCGCGUGGAGGAUGAAGGUUUUCGGAUUGUAAACUCCUUUUGUUAGAGAAGAUAAUGACGGUAUCUAACGAAUAAGCGCCGGCUAACUACGUGCCAGCAGCCGCGGUAAUACGUAGGGAGCGAGCGUUAUCCGGAUUUAUUGGGUGUAAAGGGUGCGUAGACGGGAAAAUAAGUUAGUUGUGAAAUCCCUCGGCUCAACUGAGGAACUGCAACUAAAACUAUUUUUCUUGAGUGCAGGAGA